UUAAGCGACUAAGCGUACACGGUGGAUGCCCUGGCAGUCAGAGGCGAUGAAGGACGUGCUAAUCUGCGAAAAGCGUCGGUAAGGUGAUAUGAACCGUUACAGCCGGCGAUGUCCGAAUGGGGAAACCCAGUGCAAUUCGUUGCACUAUCGUUAACUGAAUACAUAGGUUAACGAGGCGAACCGGGGGAACUGAAACAUCUAAGUACCCCGAGGAAAAGAAAUCAACCGAGAUUCCCCCAGUAGCGGCGAGCGAACGGGGAGCAGCCCAGAGUCUGAAUCAGCUUGUGUGUUAGUGGAACGGUCUGGAAAGUCCGACGGUACAGGGUGAUAGUCCCGUACACCAAAAUGCACAGGCUGUGAACUCGAAGAGUAGGGCGGGACACGUGGUAUCCUGUCUGAAUAUGGGGGGACCAUCCUCCAAGGCUAAAUACUCCUGACUGACCGAUAGUGAACCAGUACCGUGAGGGAAAGGCGAAAAGAACCCCGGCGAGGGGAGUGAAAAAGAACCUGAAACCGUGUACGUACAAGCAGUGGGAGCACCUUCGGGUGUGACUGCGUACCUUUUGUAUAAUGGGUCAGCGACUUAUAUUCUGUAGCAAGGUUAACCGUAUAGGGGAGCCGCAGGGAAACCGAGUCUUAACUGGGCGUUAAGUUGCAGGGUAUAGACCCGAAACCCGGUGAUCUAGCCAUGGGCAGGUUGAAGGUUGGGUAACACUAACUGGAGGACCGAACCGACUAAUGUUGAAAAAUUAGCGGAUGACUUGUGGCUGGGGGUGAAAGGCCAAUCAAACCGGGAGAUAGCUGGUUCUCCCCGAAAGCUAUUUAGGUAGCGCCUCGUGAAUUCAUCUUCGGGGGUAGAGCACUGUUUCGGCUAGGGGGUCAUCCCGACUUACCAACCCGAUGCAAACUACGAAUACCGAAGAAUGUUAUCACGGGAGACACACGGCGGGUGCUAACGUCCGUCGUGAAGAGGGAAACAACCCAGACCGCCAGCUAAGGUCCCAAAGUCAUGGUUAAGUGGGAAACGAUGUGGGAAGGCACAGACAGCCAGGAUGUUGGCUUAGAAGCAGCCAUCAUUUAAAGAAAGCGUAAUAGCUCACUGGUCGAGUCGGCCUGCGCGGAAGAUGUAACGGGGCUAAACCAUGCACCGAAGCUGCGGCAGCGACACUAUGUGUUGUUGGGUAGGGGAGCGUUCUGUAAGCCUGCGAAGGUGACCUGUGAGGGUUGCUGGAGGUAUCAGAAGUGCGAAUGCUGACAUAAGUAACGAUAAAGCGGGUGAAAAGCCCGCUCGCCGGAAGACCAAGGGUUCCUGUCCAACGUUAAUCGGGGCAGGGUGAGUCGACCCCUAAGGCGAGGCCGAAAGGCGUAGUCGAUGGGAAACAGGUUAAUAUUCCUGUACUUGGUGUUACUGCGAAGGGGGGACGGAGAAGGCUAUGUUAGCCGGGCGACGGUUGUCCCGGUUUAAGCAUGUAGGCUGGUUAUCCAGGCAAAUCCGGAUAAUCAAGGCUGAGGUGUGAUGACGAGGCACUACGGUGCUGAAGUAACAAAUGCCCUGCUUCCAGGAAAAGCCUCUAAGCAUCAGGUAACAUUAAAUCGUACCCCAAACCGACACAGGUGGUCAGGUAGAGAAUACCAAGGCGCUUGAGAGAACUCGGGUGAAGGAACUAGGCAAAAUGGUGCCGUAACUUCGGGAGAAGGCACGCUGGUGUGUAGGUGAAGUCCCUGCGGAUGGAGCUGAGACCAGUCGAAGAUACCAGCUGGCUGCAACUGUUUAUUAAAAACACAGCACUGUGCAAACACGAAAGUGGACGUAUACGGUGUGACGCCUGCCCGGUGCCGGAAGGUUAAUUGAUGGGGUUAUCCGUAAGGAGAAGCUCUUGAUCGAAGCCCCGGUAAACGGCGGCCGUAACUAUAACGGUCCUAAGGUAGCGAAAUUCCUUGUCGGGUAAGUUCCGACCUGCACGAAUGGCGUAAUGAUGGCCAGGCUGUCUCCACCCGAGACUCAGUGAAAUUGAACUCGCUGUGAAGAUGCAGUGUACCCGCGGCAAGACGGAAAGACCCCGUGAACCUUUACUAUAGCUUGACACUGAACAUUGAGCCUUGAUGUGUAGGAUAGGUGGGAGGCUUUGAAGCGUGGACGCCAGUCUGCGUGGAGCCAACCUUGAAAUACCACCCUUUAAUGUUUGAUGUUCUAACGUUGGCCCCU
rnacentral:rRNA from 1 species